GCCCUCAAAAUAGGUAUACAACACUCAUUAUGAGUCAAAAUACAUGGUAUAGAAAACAAACUACAACUUUGACAAUACAGAUGUCGUGUAGAAUACGACAAUACAACUGUGAAUUUGAAUACAAAUAUUGUCUUCUAGACAAUAUACACACCCAAAUAAGUCCUCAUUAAUUAUUCAUACACUAUUUUACAGAAAUAGUGAGG
rnacentral:lncRNA from 1 species